rnacentral:rRNA from 1 species
GACGAACGCUGGCGGCGUGCUUAACACAUGCAAGUCGAACGGAAAGGCCCUGCUUUUGUGGGGUGCUCGAGUGGCGAACGGGUGAGUAACACGUGAGUAACCUGCCCUUGACUUUGGGAUAACUUCAGGAAACUGGGGCUAAUACCGGAGAGGAGCUCCUGCUGCAUGGUGGGGGUUGGAAAGUUUCGGCGGUGGGGGAUGGACUCGCGGCUUAUCAGCUGGUUGGUGGGGUAGGGGCUUACCAAGGCUUUGAAGGGUAGGCGGCCUGAGAGGGUGACCGGCCACAUUGGGACUGAGAGACGGCCCAGACUCCUACGGGAGGCAGCAGUGGGGAGUAUGGCACAAUGGGCGGAAGCCUGAUGCAGCAACGCCGCGUGCGGGAUGACGGCCUUCGGGUUGUAAACCGCUUUCGCCUGUGACGAAGCGUGAGUGACGGUAAUGGGUAAAGAAGCACCGGCUAACUACGUG